GCACGUCUCUCCCGGAGCGUGCACAGUCAGUUCUGAGAUGCGUGGCAACGCUCAGGUGCGGCUCAGCGGUCCCCCUAAAACAGGUUCAGAGGCUCCUAGGGCACAUGGCAUCCUCAGCCGCGGUCACGCCGUUGGGUUUGAUGCACAUGAGACCGCUGCAGCAUUGGCUCCGUACCCGAGUCCCCAGGAGGGCGUGGCACCACGGCACGUUCCGUGUGAACAUCACACCAUCGUGCCGCCAGACACUCAGCCCUUGGACGGACAUCGUGUUCCUUCGGUCAGGAGUGCCCUUGGAACAGGUGUCCAGACGCGUCGUUGUCACCACGGACGCUUCCAGGACAGGCUGGGGUGCCACCUGCAACGGGCAGGCAGCUUCCGGGGUCUGGGCAGGCCCCCGGCUGCAUUGGCACAUCAAUUGUCUGGAGUUGUUGGCAGUGCUUCUAGCUCUGAGGAGGUUCUGGCCUAUGAUUCAGAACAAGCACGUGUUGGUCAGGUCGGACAACAUGGCGACAGUAGCCUACAUCAACCACCAGGGCGGUGUACGUUCCUUUCGCAUGUCACAACUAGCCCGCCACCUCCUGCUCUGGAGCCAACACAGACUCAGGUCCUUACGGGCCACUCACAUUCCGGGCGAUGCCAAUCGAGUGGCCGAUUCUCUGUCACGACAGGUUUCGCUCGGAGGCGAGUGGAGGCUCCACCCUCAGUCGGUUCAACUGAUUUGGGAUCGAUUCGGCCAGGCGCAAGUGGAUCUCUUCGCCUCACCGGAAUCCACCCACUGCCAGUUGUGGUACGGGCUGACCGAGGCUCCCCUCGGUAUAGAUGCACUGGCACACAGUUGGCCGAAGGACCGGCUCAAGUAUGCGUUUCCCCCCGGUGAGUCUGAUCGCACAAACUUUGUGCAAAGUCAGGGAGGACAAGGAGCAGGUCCUCUUGGUAGCCCCCUUCUGGCCCAACAGAACCUGGUUCUCGGACCUGGUUCUCCUGGCGUCAGCUCCUCCCUGGCGCAUUCCCCUGAGGAAGGACCUCCUUUCCCAGGGGAAGGGCACAAUUUGGCACCCGCGCCCCGAUCUCUGGAACCUCCACCUGUGGCCCCUGGACGCGACCAGGAGGACUUCAGAGAUCUCCCACCAUCAGUGGUGAACACACUCAUUCAGGCAAGAGCUCCCUCUACCAGGCGGCUGUAUGACUCUAAAUGGCGCGUGUUUGUGAACUGGUGUUCUGCUCGGCUAAGGGACCCACGGAGUUGCGGCAUCGAAUCAGUGUUAUCCUUCCUCCAGGAGGGCCUGGACAGGCACCUAUCUGCCUCGACACUUAAGGUUCAUGUGGCCGCUAUAUCGGCUAAUCAUGACCUGGUGGGUGGCAGGUCGGUGGGAAAACACGAUUUGGUAAUCAGGUUUCUGAGAGGAGCCCGGAGACUGAACCCUCCUCGGCCACAUCUUAUCCCCUCUUGGGACCUUGCUGUGGUUCUCCGGGGCCUACAGCAGGGUCCCUUCGAGCCUCUUCAGUCAGUCAAACUCGAUGCUCUCUCCCUAAAGACGGCUCUCCUGACUGCGCUCGCCUCGGUAAAGAGAGUGGGAGACCUCCAAGCCCUCUCCAUCAACAGUUCGUGCCUGGAAUUCGGACCAGCGGAUUCUCACGUCGUCCUGAGACCCCGGCCUGGAUACGUGCCCAAAGUCCCCACCACUCCCUUCAGAGACCAGGUGGUGACUUUGCAAGCUAUCUCUUCCCAGGAAGAUGACCCCAACCUGACCUUGUUAUGCCCAGUCCGUGCCCUGCGCAUCUACUUGGAACGCACUCAGCCCUUCAGACGUUCUGAACAGCUCUUCGUCUGUUAUGGGGGACAGCAGAAGGGGAAGGCUGUCUCCAAACAGAGGAUCUCCCACUGGCUGGUGGACGCAAUUCGGGUGGCCUACCAGGCCAGAGGCCUACCCUGCCCUCUGGAGGUAAGAGCCCACUCGACUAGGGGCGUCGCUGCCUCGGCAGCCCUGGCAAAUGGGGCCUCAUUAACAGACAUCUGUAGAGCUGCAGGUUGGGCUACACCUAACACAUUUGCCAGAUUUUACAAUUUACGCAUGGAGCCAGUGUCAGCUAGAGUCUUGAAUACCAGCUCUUGACUCAGUUCUCUGGUUGGUGUAGAGCUUGCUUUAAAGCGCUUCCCCUAACGGUGAUUACGCUUCUGAGUUUCAGUAGGUUUCCUAGCGUGAACCCUGGACACCAUCUCCAUCAUUGGCACCUCUGGACGUGGCAGAGUUUUGCGGAGGGACUCGCUACGAAUUCGGUCACAAGGUUGUGAACUCCGUAGCGCCGUUUUUCCUUCGGGGGAGGCGCUUUCCCAACGCUCGCAAGACACUCGGCCGCUCUACUGAGGAAGGCCCGGCUGCAGAACCCUGGUACAGGUCAGUCUUGGACGUUGGAUGGUCACGGAGGAGGUGAGCUGCACUUCGUUAACACGUUGCCUGUUACUUCUGCGCUUAUCACUCGUGACGCGGCCAGUAAGGUGGCGGUUUUCUACGGGGACCCCUAGUGUCGUACACUACUCGACACAACUCGGAGUGUACGACAGAUAGGGAACGUCUCGGUUACGUAUGGUAACCCUCGUUCCCUGAUGGAGGGAACGGAGACGUUGUGUCUUCCGUGCCACCUUCCUGGACCGCCUCUGAGUGAGUUGAGACCCUCGGCUCCUCAGAUCAGAACGAGUGAGCAGAUGCACACGCUGCCCUAUUUAUACCCGGACGUCCGGGGCGUGGUCAGCUAUGCAAAUCUGCACACCCAAUUUUCAUUGGCCUUUCUCAAAACUGUCAGAGGUGUUUGGGCUCUCAAGAGCGACCCCUAGUGUCGUACACUACUCGACACAACGUCUCCGUUCCCUCC